rnacentral:rRNA from 1 species
AGAGUGAACGCUGGCGGUAGGCCUAACACAUGCAAGUCGAACGGCAGCACAGGAGAGCUUGCUCUCUGGGUGGCGAGUGGCGGACGGGUGAGGAAUACAUCGGAAUCUACCUUUUCGUGGGGGAUAACGUAGGGAAACUUACGCUAAUACCGCAUAAGACCUUCGGGUGAAAGCCGGGGACCUUCGGGCCUGGCGCGGAUAGAUGAGCCGAUGUCGGAUUAGCUAGUUGGCGGGGUAAAGCCC